rnacentral:rRNA from 1 species
GAUGAACGCUAGCUACAGGCUUAACACAUGCAAGUCGAGGGGAAACGGCAUUUGGUGCUUGCACCAUUUGGACGUCGACCGGCGCACGGGUGAGUAACGCGUAUCCAACCUGCCCAUAAGUAGGGUAUAACCCGCAGAAAUGCGGACUAAUCCCCUAUGUUGUUCAAAGACGGCAUCUGAUUUGAACCAAAGGCUUGCCGCUUAUGGAUGGGGAUGCGUCCGAUUAGCUUGUUGGUGAGGUAACGGCUCACCAAGGCUUCGAUCGGUAGGGGUUCUGAGAGGAAGGCCCCCCACAUAGGAACUGAGACACGGUCCUAACUCCUACGGGAGGCAGCAGUGAGGAAUAUUGGUCAAUGGGCGAGAGCCUGAACCAGCCAAGUAGCGUGCAGGAAGACGGCCCUAUGGGUUGUAAACUGCUUUUAUGCGGGGAUAACCGGCCUCACGUGUGAGGCUCUGCAGGUACCGCAUGAAUAAGGACCGGCUAAUUCCGUGCCAGCAGCCGCGGUAAUACGGAAGGUCCGGGCGUUAUCCCGGAUUUAUUGGGUUUAAAGGGAGCGUAGGCCGUGGGUUAAGUGUGUUGUGAAAUCCGGUUGCUCAACAUCCGGUUUGCAGCGCAUACUGUCCCACUUGAGUGCGCACAACGCAGGCGGAAUUCGUCGUGUAGCGGUGAAAUGCUUAGAUAUGACGAGGAACCCCGAUUGCGAAGGCAGCUUGCGGGAGCGCAACUGACGCUUAAGCUCGAAGGUGCGGGUAUCAAACAGGAUUAGAUACCCUGGUAGUCCGCACGGUAAUCGAUGGAUGCCCGCUGUUUGCCCUAUUUUGGGCAUGCGGCCAAGCGAAAGCAUUAAGCAUCCCACCUGGGGAGUACGCCGGCAACGGUGAAACUCAAAGGAAUUGACGGGGGCCCGCACAAGCGGAGGAACAUGUGGUUUAAUUCGAUGAUACGCGAGGAACCUUACCCGGGCUUGAACUGCCAGUGAACGAUACAGAGAUGUUGAGGCCCUUCGGGGCGCUGGUGGAGGUGCUGCAUGGUUGUCGUCAGCUCGUGCCGUGAGGUGUCGGCUUAAGUGCCAUAACGAGCGCAACCCUUUUCCACAGUUGCCAUCAGGUCAUGCUGGGCACUCUGUGGAUACUGCCGCCGCAAGGUGUGAGGAAGGUGGGGAUGACGUCAAAUCAGCACGGCCCUUACGUCCGGGGCUACACACGUGUUACAAUGGGGGGCACAGCGUGCCGUACGUGCGCAAGCACGUUCCAAUCAUGAAAUCCCCCCUCAGUUCGGACUGGGGUCUGCAACCCGACCCCACGAAGCUGGAUUCGCUAGUAAUCGCGCAUCAGCCAUGGCGCGGUGAAUACGUUCCCGGGCCU